rnacentral:rRNA from 1 species
UACGAAGGGUGCAAGCGUUACUCGGAAUUACUGGGCGUAAAGCGUGCGUAGGCGGCGAGUUAAGUCUGAUGUGAAAUCCCCGGGCUCAACCUGGGAAUGGCAUUGGAUACUGGCUCGCUAGAGUGCGGUAGAGGGUGGUGGAAUUCCCGGUGUAGCAGUGAAAUGCGUAGAGAUCGGGAGGAACAUCUGUGGCGAAGGCGGCCACCUGGACCAACACUGACACUGAGGCACGAAAGCGUGGGGAGCAAACAGG